rnacentral:rRNA from 1 species
CGUGGGUAACCUGCCUUAUAGUGGGGGAUAGCCUUUCGAAAGGAAGAUUAAUACCGCAUAAGAUUGUAGUAUCGCAUGAUAUAGCAAUUAAAGGAGCAAUUCGCUAUAAGAUGGACCCGCGUCGCAUUAGCUAGUUGGUGAGGUAAUGGCUCACCAAGGCGACGAUGCGUAGCCGACCUGAGAGGGUGAACGGCCACAUUGGGACUGAGACACGGCCCAGACUCCUACGAGAGGCAGCAUG